rnacentral:rRNA from 1 species
UACAGAGGGGGCAAGCGUUGUUCGGAAUUACUGGGCGUAAGGGGCGCGUAGGCGGCCUGCUAAGUCGAACGUGAAAUCCCCGGGCUCAACCCGGGAACUGCGUCCGAUACUGGCAGGCUUGAAUCCGGGAGAGGGAUGUGGAAUUCCAGGUGUAGCGGUGAAAUGCGUAGAUAUCUGGAGGAACACCGGUGGCGAAGGCGGCAUCCUGGACCGGUAUUGACGCUGAUGCGCGAAAGCCAGGGGAGCAAACGGG